UCCUUCCUAGAGAAGCUGCUUUCCCCAUUCCAGUUCCCAUUCGUGCCCCAUGUGAUAGUCUGUAUAUGAGUGGCAGGAUUAGAAGGUAUGUGGCCCUGUUGGAGUGGGUGUGUCACUGUGGUUUGUGGGCUCUAAGACCCCCAUCCUAGCUGCCUAGAAGCCAGUAUUCUGCUAGCAGCCUUCAGAUGAAGAUGUAGAACUCUCAGCUCCUCCUGCCUGGAUGCUGCCAUGUUCCUGCCGGUAUGAUAAUGGACUGAACCUCUGAACCUGUAAGCCAGCCCCAAUUAAAUGCUGUCCUUAUAAGAGUUGUCUUGGCCGUGGUGUCUGCUCACAGCAGUAAAACCCUAACUAAGACAGAAGUUGCUACCAGGGACUGGGGUAUUGCUGUGAUAGGCCUAACCAUGCCUUUCUUUGGAAGAAUGUGGAGUUUGUGACUUUGGAUUUGGAAAGCAGUGGAAUGCUUAAGUGGGGCUUAAUGGGCUAUCCUAGUAAUAAUAUGGAAGACUUUGUUACUGAGAGUGAUUUGAAUUGUGCAGACCUGGCCCAAGAGGUUUCAGUGGAGAAUUUUCAUGUGGCCUAGAAACUGUUUUGUGGUAUUUUGGUGAAGAGCAUGGCUACUUUUUGCCCUGGUCUGAAGAGUCUGCCUGAAGUGAAGGUGAAGAGACUCAGAUUAAUUGCAUUGACAAAGGAAGUCUCAGAAACACCCAUCAUAGACUUUGUUCUCUGGUUAAGUCUCAUGAAGAACAUUUUAAACAAGCAUAGCAAGCUAAAAAAGGAAAUAUAUAAAAUAUAUAGUUCAAAUAUUAAAGGGGCACCAGGAAAUGAAAUGAAGCUGAAUUCUGUGUUCAAGGAUAUUAAAUUGAAUUAAGGGAGUAGUGACCUUGGGGUAAGAUCCCACCCAACUAAGUUUAGAUCCAGGCAUGAUGAUAUACACAUUUAAUCCCGGGAGGCAAAGAGAAGCUGAUCUCUGAGUUCAAGUCCAGCCUAGAACAGAACAAGUUCUAGGUGAAGAAAAACUUAAAUCCAGGCUGGGUGGACCACACCUUUAAUCCCAGUGCUUAUGAGACAGGCAUGCAGAUCUCUGAGUUCAAAGUCAGUCUAAGGAGGAAGUUCCAGGACAGCCAAGCAAUUGAGGGAGUUGGAAAACAGAAAGCUGACAAUAAGGGGGAUCAUGUUCCAGCCACAGCAAACAGAAGAACUCAACAACUUUGGCCACAUGGCUCUGACUUUAGAGUCCAGAACAGAAGGGACCACUGGGAUAAUUGAUGGUAGUUAGCUAGAGCUAAGAAAUUAGUGGUGAUUAAGAAGAGACCAGCAUCACUGAGGUGAAAUUUUCUGGGAAGUAUUUUCUGAGAGCACAAAGAAGCUGUGUUCCAGAGAUAGCCAAGGUUGUACCUUGUGGUGCAGCUGGACUUGGUAAUGUAUAAGAGUCACCCACGUGGUACUGGUUUUGAAGGCAUGAAGGGAUCAUGGAGAGCAGCUGAGGCUUGGCACUGUGAGAGGCCAUGGAAGGUCAUUGGUGAAGGUACAGGUUCCAGUUGAUGGCCCAGGACUGAAGGGGUCAUGCAAAGGAGUUGAGGCUUGGCACCUGUGAGAAGAGAGCCUGUGAGAGGCUAUUGGUGAAGCCUACUUACAGUGGAAGACCCCAGAGUAUUGGAGAUGCCAGUACAUGGGAUGAUCACCAAGAACAGCAGCAGUGGGGUGGAUCAACCUGAGCUUAGAGUGCUACAGAGGGCAGAGCUGGAGAAGUGACACCAGCCCUUUGGAGUAGCCUAGAAGUUCAUGUGUGGAUCCCAGACAUUGAAACAUGAAGCUGUAACAUUGAAGUUGCCUUUGAGACCCCAAGAUGUUUGAGAUACCAGAGCCAUGGGAUAUCUGCUGAGGAAAGCUGAUAACAGGGAGUGAAACCAGCCCAGGAGAAAGAAGUUUAUUGUAAUCAACAAAGAUGAAAAAGGAGUGGAAAUCUGAAGACUGCUUUGACAUCAGCCAUAGAGAUGCAUAGUUUGGAGAUUGCCCUGGUUUCCUGUAUUAUUAUGGAAUUACAGCUAAGUGAUUGAUCUUUGGACUUUUACAUUGUUGAGACUGCUAUAGACUGUAGAGACUUUUUGAAGUUGGACUAAAUGUAUUUUUCAUAAUGCUAUGUUUAGGCAUUGCCCCCAUCGACUAAUAUGUUUGAACAAACCUAUGGGGGCCAGGGAUUAGAUUGUGAUGGUUUCUAUAUGCUUGGCCCAGGGAGUGGAAUUAGAAGGUGUGGCCCUGUUGGAAUAGGUGUGUUUCCUCACCUUGGUAUAGAAGAACCAUCUCUUUCUCCCAAUUAGUACCAUAGCAGGAGACAGGUUCAGACUUCUCCAAACUACAUCAUUUAAUAAAAUCAGAAGAAUUAGUUGAAAAACAUUUUAGAGAUUUUCACUUGUUUGCCACUUUACUUCUUCUGUUCUAAGUACAUGCCAAGGGACAAAAUUUCAAUACAAACUGAAACUAGAGUCCUUCUCCAUUUACUAUUACC
rnacentral:lncRNA from 1 species